GAUGAACGCUGGCGACGUGCUUAACACAUGCAAGUCGAGCGCCUGUAGCGAUACGGGAGCGGCGCACGGGUGAGUAACGCGUGGGAACCUGCCCUUAGGUUCGGGACAACCGCGGGAAACUGCGGCUGAUACCGGAUGAAGUCCCCGAUAGAGAUAUUGGGGCCCAAAGAUUUAUCGCCUUUGGAGGGGCCCGCGUCGGAUUAGGUAGUUGGUGGGGUAACGGCUCACCAAGCCUGUGAUCCGUAGCUGGUCUGAGAGGAUGAUCAGCCACACUGGGACUGAGACACGGCCCAGAUUCCUACGGGAGGCAGCAGUGGGGAGUAUUGGACAAUGGGGGCAACCCUGAUCCAGCAAUGCCGCGUGGGUGAUGAAGGCCUUCGGGUUGUAAAGCCCUUUCGGCGGGGACGAUGAUGACGGUACCCGCAGAAGAAGCCCCGGCUAACUUCGUGCCAGCCGCCGCGGUAAAAC
rnacentral:rRNA from 1 species